GCAAAAAGAUUAGCCCUACCCCACUAAACCAACUAAACCAAAUAAAUUAAAUCAUUCUUCCACUUAGUACAGGUGAUAGAAAAGUACAUAGGAGCUUCUAAAAUAGUACCGAAAGGGAACAGUGAAAUAAAAAUGAAAUAACACCAAGCACCACAAAGCAGAGCAUAAACCUCGUACCUUUUGCAUCAUGGCUUAGCUAGCCAAAUCAAGCAAAAUGCAUUUAAGUUUGACCCCCCGAAACCUGGCGAGCUACUUCAAAACAGCCUUCUGGGCCAACCCGUCUCUGUUGCAAAAGAGUGGGAAGAUUUUCAAGUAGAGGUGAUAUACCUACCGAGCCAUGUGAUAGCUGGUUACUCAAGAAAAGGAUCUGAGUCCACCCUUAAACUUAUUAAUAACCUAAAAUAAAUAACCAAGUUUAAGAGACACUCAAAUAAGGUACAGCCUAUUUGAAACAGGAAACAACCUCAAACACAGGGUAAUUUUUUAAUUAUUGGCCAAGUGGGCCUAAAAGCAGCCAACUUUUAAAAAGCGUUAAAGCUUAACCAUAAAAAACUCUAAUACCUAAAAUUCUACAAAACCCUUAAUCAAUAUUGAGUGACUCUAUAACAAUAUAGAAAACCCAAUGCUAAGACUAGUAAUAAGAAGAAGACCUUCUCCUUAAUGUAAGCGUAAGCCAAACAACACCUCAGGCACCCACCGCCAAUGAAUAAAGAAUGGAAACUCCCAAGAAAAAUCCAUUAACUACAGCGUUAACCUUACACCAGAACAUUCCAGGAAAGAUUAAAAGGAGGUGAAGGAACUCGGCAAACCAUUAAUCCCGCCUGUUUACCAAAAACAUCGCCUUCUGAAAAAUUAUAGAAGGUCCAGCCUGCCCAGUGACUUAGUUAAACGGCCGCGGUACCCUAACCGUGCGAAGGUAGCACAAUCACUUGUUCUUUAAAUAAGGACUAGUAUGAAUGGCAUCACGAGGAUUAAACUGUCUCCCCCACCUAAUCAAUGAAACUGACCUCCCCGUGAAGAAGCGGGGAUAAAUAUAUAAGACGAGAAGACCCUAUGGAGCUUUAAACAUAACACCACUCACCUAAGCCCACUUCAUAAAAAACAGGUGAAGCUUGUGUACGUUUUCAGUUGGGGUGACUGCGGAGCAAAAUAAAACCUCCACGAUGAGAUCCUCUAAUCCAAGAACAACAAUUCAAAGAAUCAAUAAAUUGACAUUAAUUGACCCAAAUAAUAAUUUGAUCAACGAACUAAGUUACCCUAGGGAUAACAGCGCAAUCCACUUCAAGAGCUCAUAUCGACAAGUGGGUUUACGACCUCGAUGUUGGAUCAGGGUAUCCCAGUGGUGCAGCCGCUACUAAAGGUUCGUUUGUUCAACGAUCAAAACCCU
rnacentral:rRNA from 1 species